ACACUUACCUGGCAGGGGAGACACCAUGGUCAGGCAGGUGGUUUUCCCAGGGUGAGGCUCAUCCUUUGCACUUCAGGUGUGCUGACCCCUGUGAUUUCCCCAAAUGUGGGAGACUCGGCUGCUUCAUUUGUGGUAGUGGGGGUUGGAGUGGCUGGAGAGCAGCCAA
rfam:Picoides pubescens contig85802, whole genome shotgun sequence.